rnacentral:rRNA from 1 species
GACGAACGCUGGCGGCGUGCUUAACACAUGCAAGUCGAACGGAAAGGCCCUGCUUUUGUGGGGUGCUCGAGUGGCGAACGGGUGAGUAACACGUGAGUAACCUGCCCUUGACUUUGGGAUAACUUCAGGAAACUGGGGCUAAUACCGGAUAGGAGCUCCUGCUGCAUGGUGGGGGUUGGAGAGUUUCGGCGGUUGGGGAUGGACUCGCGGCUUAUCAGCUUGUUGGUGGGGUAGUGGCUUACCAAGGCUUUGACGGGUAGCCGGCCUGAGAGGGUGACCGGCCACAUUGGGACUGAGAUACGGCCCAGACUCCUACGGGAGGCAGCAGUGGGGAAUAUUGCACAAUGGGCGGAAGCCUGAUGCAGCAACGCCGCGUGCGGGAUGACGGCCUUCGGGUUGUAAACCGCUUUCGCCUGUGACGAAGCGUGAGUGACGGUAAUGGGUAAAGAAGCACCGGCUAACUACGUGCCAGCAGCCGCGGUGAUACGUAGGGUGCGAGCGUUGUCCGGAUUUAUUGGGCGUAAAGGGCUCGUAGGUGGUUGAUCGCGUCGGAAGUGUAAUCUUGGGGCUUAACCCUGAGCGUGCUUUCGAUACGGGUUGACUUGAGGAAGGUAGGGGAGAAUGGAAUUCCUGGUGGAGCGGUGGAAUGCGCAGAUAUCAGGAGGAACACCAGUGGCGAAGGCGGUUCUCUGGGCCUUUCCUGACGCUGAGGAGCGAAAGCGUGGGGAGCGAACAGGCUUAGAUACCCUGGUAGUCCACGCUGUAAACGGUGGGUACUAGGUGUGGGGUCCAUUCCACGGGUUCCGUGCCGUAGCUAACGCUUUAAGUACCCCGCCUGGGGAGUACGGCCGCAAGGCUAAAACUCAAAGGAAUUGACGGGGCCCCGCACAAGCGGCGGAGCAUGCGGAUUAAUUCGAUGCAACGCGUAGAACCUUACCUGGGUUUGACAUGGAUCGGGAGUGCUCAGAGAUGGGUGUGCCUCUUUUGGGGUCGGUUCACAGGUGGUGCAUGGCUGUCGUCAGCUCGUGUCGUGAGAUGUUGGGUUAAGUCCCGCAACGAGCGCAACCCUUGUUCACUGUUGCCAGCACGUUAUGGUGGGGACUCAGUGGAGACCGCCGGGGUCAACUCGGAGGAAGGUGGGGAUGACGUCAAGUCAUCAUGCCCCCUUAUGUCCAGGGCUUCACGCAUGCUACAAUGGCUGGUACAGAGAGUGGCGAGCCUGUGAGGGUGAGCGAAUCUCGGAAAGCCGGUCUCAGUUCGGAUUGGGGUCUGCAACUCGACCUCAUGAAGUCGGAGUCGCUAGUAAUCGUAGAUCAGCAACGCUGCGGUGAAUACGUUCCCGGGGCU